GACAGAGGGGGCAAGCGUUGCUCGGAAUCACUGGGCGUAAAGGGCGCGUAGGCGGGAUGCCAAGUCGGUCGUGAAAUCUCCGGGCUCAACCCGGAGGAGUCGGCCGAAACUGGUGUUCUUGAGGGAGGCAGAGGAGUCUGGAAUUCCCGGUGUAGCGGUGAAAUGUGUAGAGAUCGGGAGGAACACCGGUGGCGAAGGCGGGACUCUGGGCCUACCCUGACGCUGAGGCGCGAAGGCGUGGGGAGCAAACGGG
rnacentral:rRNA from 1 species